GUCCUGGCCCUAAACGGUGCGUACUUGCUGUAAGCGGAUUCGACCCCGCUUGUGGCGCAGUUAACACGAUAAGUACGCCGCCUGGGAAGUACGGUCGCAAGAUUAAAACUCAAAGAAAUUGACGGGGGCCUGCACAAGCGGUGGAGUAUGUGGCUUAAUUCGAUGCAACGCGAAGAACCUUACCUGGUCUUGACAUGCGCGUAGUAGAAGCCUGAAAGGGCAACGAGGUAGCAAUACCAGCGUGCACAGGUGCUGCAUGGCUGUCGU
rnacentral:rRNA from 1 species